rnacentral:lncRNA from 1 species
GUUUUUAAGCGAUCACAUGGUUCUUGGGUUUUCUUUAAGACAUCUUAAAAUGUAAAUCACGAUCUCCAAAUUCUUAAAUGUCCAUUGCAUACGCGCGUUUGUAAUCCGACACAGAUCGGGGACACUUUCAGUGUCACAUGACAUUUUUAUUGAUAGUGAAGAUUUGCGCAUCCACAAACAGAAGGCCGGAGAAAUAGAGAGUUUCAACUAAUCUUCCGGCUAGCCGUACGAAUAGACACUCCGCAAAAAAAAGAUGGAAUACUCUCCUCUUCUUUUUGGUCUUCUGAAUAGCAUAAGUUAUUUCCAUGUCUGGUAAUCUGCUCCUUCUUAAGUCAAAUACAUUCUUAUUUCAAGAAUGAAAAAAAAAUCAAAAGUGAAUCGCUAUAAAAGUAAAAUUGAGAUUGGAAAUGGAAAAUGGGCGUCAAAGAGACAACAACCAGACCAAAGAGCAGACAACCUCCGAAUCCACCAGUGCGUCUUUGAUGCAGCGAGAAACACGCUCCUGACAGCGCCUGUGCUUCAGCUAGCCCCUUAACAAAAUGUAUACUAGUUUAUUGAUAUUCAGUGGAUGUCAUUCUUUACUCCCAAAUAUACAUAAAAGUUAAAAUAAAAAAUCAUACAAAAGAGGCUUCUUAAUUGGAAAAGUCGCAAAAAUACAGCGGGGUUAAAAAAAAUUUAACUUUUUAAUUUUAACGUUUAAUAAAAUCACAC